GUGAGGAAUAUUGGUCAAUGGACGCGAGUCUGAACCAGCCAAGUAGCGUGAAGGAUGACUGCCCUAUGGGUUGUAAACUUCUUUUAUAAGGGAAUAAAGUGAGGGACGUGUCCCUUUUUGUAUGUACCUUAUGAAUAAGGAUCGGCUAACUCCGUGCCAGCAGCCGCGGUAAUACGGAGGAUCCAAGCGUUAUCCGGAUUUAUUGGGUUUAAAGGGAGCGUAGGUUGACAUAUAAGUCAGCUGUGAAAGUUUACGGCUCAACCGUGAAAUUGCAGUUGAUACUGUAUGUCUUGAGUGUACAAGAGGUGGGCGGAAUUCGUGGUGUAGCGGUGAAAUGCUUAGAUAUCACGAAGAACUCCAAUUGCGAAGGCAGCUCACUGGGGUACAACUGACACUGAGGCUCGAAAGUGUGGGUAUCAAACAGGAUUAGAUACCCGAGUAGUCC
rnacentral:rRNA from 1 species